CAAUAGCGUAUAUUAAAGUUGUUGCGGUAAAAAAGCUCGUAGUUGGAUUUCUGUUGAGAGCGACCGGUCCAUACCAUGUAUGCGUAUCUGGCUUGCUCUCGGCAUCCUCUCGAUAGACGUUACUGCGCUUGAUUGCGUGGUGCGGAUCUCGGGACUUUUACUUUGAGGAAAUUAGAGUGUUCACGGCAGGCUUUCGCCAGAAUACAUUAGCAUGGAAUAAUACUAUAGGAUCUUGGUUCUAUUUUGUUGGUUUCUAGAAUUGAGAUAAUGAUUAAUAGGGACAAUUGGGGGCAUUCGUAUCAACACGUCAGAGGUGGAAUUCCUGGAUUGUGUUGCGACGAACUACUGCGAAAGCAUUUGCCAAGGAUGUUUUCAUUGA
rnacentral:rRNA from 1 species